GAUGAACGCUGGCGGCGUGCCUAAUACAUGCAAGUCGAGCGAACAGACGAGGAGCUUGCUCCUCUGACGUUAGCGGCGGACGGGUGAGUAACACGUGGAUAACCUACCUAUAAGACUGGGAUAACUUCGGGAAACCGGAGCUAAUACCGGAUAAUAUAUUGAACCGCAUGGUUCAAUAGUGAAAGACGGUUUUGCUGUCACUUAUAGAUGGAUCCGCGCCGCAUUAGCUAGUUGGUAAGGUAACGGCUUACCAAGGCGACGAUGCGUAGCCGACCUGAGAGGGUGAUCGGCCACACUGGAACUGAGACACGGUCCAGCCUCCUACGGGAGGCAGCAGUAGGGAAUCUUCCGCAAUGGGCGAAAGCCUGCCGGAGCAACGCCGCGUGAGUGAUGAAGGUCUUCGGAUCGUAAAACUCUGUUAUUAGGGAAGAACAAAUGUGUAAGUAACUAUGCACGUCUUGACGGUACCUAAUCAGAAAGCCACGGCUAACUACGUG
rnacentral:rRNA from 1 species